GUAAUUUUAUUUUAAUUCUCUCUCUUUUGUCAUUUUUUUCAUUGUUGAAGGGCAAGGAGGUAAAUGAGUAAAAAGCAUCCAUUUACCAUGGCAGUGAAUCUUAUUGAAGAAAAGCUCAUCCACCUCUCUGAGGAGUAGGUGGUGGUGAUGGUGGUUUCAGCCUUAGGAAUGGUUUCUGAUAAAGAAAACCAAAGAAGAGAGAUGGGGAAGAUGAUCUGCACAGAGGUCGGCGGGUGUGGUGAAGGUUUGGAUCUCAAGGGACUCCUCAUGGCUCUUGUAAUCGCUCUCACGCUCAUGGUCAUCUGCUGGCGGCCUCCCCGCCAUCGGGCCUACAUCGCUGUGCGUUAUUGUUGACAGAAUUCCACCCAUCUCAAUCGUGUUUUCCGUUUGUUUCUCGGGAUUUCUUUGGUUUUUCCUCAAGGUAAUUAUGUUUGUUAGAGGGAGUAUUACUAAUAAAUACAAGAGUGUAUUAUGAUCAGACCCAGGGGUGGGUGGUCAUAUGAUGAGUCAUGACAUAAGUUACUGUCCACGUGAUUUUGAAUCUUCCUUAUUGUAAUAGGUUAUGAUAGAUGGGUGAAUGAAAAAAGUUGCUUCACUUUAUACCAA